CCGCAAGGGAACUGAAUUCUCACACCUGCCACACACCUCACACCCUCCCGGCUGUGCCUGCGUGUGCGUGUGUGCAUGCGGAAUCGGGUCUUGUCAUCUUGGUAGACGUCCUUUGGUGCUCUUCCCACCCACCUGAAGUGCCUUGCCCGCAAGAGGCUCACAACAACGGCGCCUGCUAUAGAAUCACCCCCUCCCCCUCUCUGCCGCCUUUCUUUGGACCGGAGGGUCUGCGGCACUUUCUCAUCAUCUUGGACGGAAGCCAGGGGCAGCAUACAGACAGCCAAGACAAAAAACACGCCACUAUACAAAUCGAAGCACCCAUAGAAACAUCUUCCUGUUUUCUCGUCUUUUGAAACUCCCCCCACCCCCUUCCCUUCGCCUGUCAAUCUGGCUCUCAUCGGACGUCAUUCCUGCACCCUUUUUUUCCAGUGUGGAAAGGAGGGGGCUCUCUGUUGUAUGUAUGUGUGUGUAGUGUGUGUGUUGAGCCCUCUUCAUAGAUUUAUACUGCAUGGUGUGGUGGCGUUUGUGCUGCCGCGAUCCUUGAUCUCUCUUGCUCACUGACUUUGCCACGUGCGCGCAACACGGAAUUCGGGAGGCGUACGCGUGUGCGUGUGCUUGCCGUGCAUCCGUGGCCGAACACACACGCGGGAACCAGGUCGCACUUCCCCAACUGAGUAGCGGUGCGUCUCGCUCGGUUACCCGAGCAGCAGACAAGCGUUUCUCACGUCUGCUGCCGUGCUGUUGUUGUUUCUUUGGCUUUUGCUUGCCGCUGACUCUUUCACAAGCAAAGAAAACAAAGGCGCCUUCAGCACGCGCAGGCGCACACGCACACACAGAGAUGAUUAACAGCUACCACCAAAAUUCGAGUGUGGUGAGCACGGAGGAUGGCAGUAGCUCCACUGUAUUUGGUAAUCCUCGAAUAGAGCACCGACGCCGGCACGCGCAGCAGCAGCAGCAGCAACUGUCGCGUUCCCCCGGCAGUUACGAACGCUUCUCAGAGACGCUGCCGCCGUCCUCCAAAACACGGCAGGACCCUGUCACGGAGUUCGCGGCGCGACGCGACGGCGAGGGAAGCAUUCCCAUGUUACUCAGAAACGAAGGCUGUCGGUCACAGAUGCAUCAUAUGGAGGCGGUGGAAAGCGGUGUGGCACCACCACCCGCCGUGCGCACAGCACGCACUGAUCUGCCCGCCUUGGCGUCGCCGAAGCCCUCGGCUGAGGAGCCACAGGCCCUCUUGGAAACCACAGUGAUGGUGUCGACGAAGAUGCCCCCACACGAGCCGCAGGUGCGCCCGCUGGGCGUGUAUGUGCGCACUGGCCGCGGAGGCCCCAACGGGGUGACGCGUGUCGUUCUUGUGCGACUGACCGACCCCACAGAUCCCUUCUUUUUGUUUGAGUUGGAGCUCCUCGAGGACGACUACAGCGCCUUCAAGCAGCACCUGGAGCUGCUCGUUGACUUUCACGGCUUUCCGCGCUACCUGGUCGGCAUGCUGCGCGACAUCGCUGACGGCGCCUCCGCCUAUGCGUUGUCCUUUGUGUUGAGCAGCGCCGCAGUAGGUGACUCGAACCGAGGGACGCUGCGAGUACUGGAGGCGACGGACUUCAAAACUGUAGAGCAUAUUUCACUCGUGCUACUGCGACAGGGGGACGCCGGCCUCAAGCGGUACCUCGCGGAGCGCUUUCAACAUUACGAGCAGUCGUUCCGUGCCUCGGAGGCUUCCCGAGCGGCCAUCACGGCGGAGCUCCAGGAGAAAAUCGAUGACUUGCAGGCCGCGAACGACGCGCUGCGUGCCAGUUUGCGCAAGGCCGAGGAGGAGAUGCGGUUUAUGAUGACGGAUGCGGAGAAGGAACAGCUGGUCGCGCUGAACCGACUACGAGACCACCACACGAAGGAGAUGAACGGCGCUCGUGAAUCAUUCGACAAAAAAGUCGAGCAGCUCUCACACGCAGUGGAGGAGAAGACGCGUCAGCUGCGUGACACAACCCACGAAAAGGAUGCUGCCUUGGCAGAGUCACACGCUCGCACAUCGCAACUUGAGGCCAAGGUGGCCUCGCUCCAGUCACAGCUCCGUAGUGCACAGGACACGGUAGCCGUUCAGAACAAGGAACUCGCCACGUUGCGUGAGAUGAACGAGGAGUUGGCGAAGUUCAAGGCCGAGGCGACGAAGGCGAUGUCGGAGAACGAGCUCAACUACGUGACACUGACGGAGCGGCUCCGCGGCACCAGCACCGCACUGCACAGUCGAGAAGAGAAGAUGGCCGCGCUUCAAGCACACUACGAGAAGCAGGACGAGUACAUCCGCAUUUUGGCCGAGCAGAACAGGCAGCAGGCAGACCGCGUCCACGAGGCGGAGAAGAAUCUGGACAAGGCCCAUCACAUCAUCGCAAACCAGCUGCAGGCGAUCAAAAACGCGAAGGACCGCUACCACAUUGCGAUGGAUCAGCUGCGCAGUCAGGAGGCGCUUCUGCUAGAGCGCGACGGUGCCGCACGUCGGCAGCAGGAGGAGCUGACGGCGGCAACAGAGCGCGUCCAGGAGCUGCUGCGCAAAAACAGCGACCUCCGUGAGCAGCUGGAGACGACUAACAACGCUCGCGAGAAACUGGUGCAGGAGGUGAAGCUGAGUCAGCAGGCACUGCUGCGUCUGCAGCAGACGACGAGCAUCAACGGGCGUCACUGGGGCGUGCUAAGCUCGGCAUAUCAUAGCAGAGAGGGAGCUGCCGCUGGUGUAUCCGCCCUGAAUGCUGCGGCGGGGGCGGGCACGGCUGACGUUAUGCGCGAGUUCGGCGCACAUGCACAUGUGCUGAGUCAGCCGGGGUACCGCAGCAUCAACCUUCCCUCCCGUAAUAGUGUCUCUCGCUCCACAAGCCCGGGAAAGGCCGGAUUCGUCUCUGCGUCGAACGGGCUGCCGCCUUCUACCAUGGCCACUGCAACUGACAGCGCUACCGUUAUCCAGCGUCCAUCGCUCUUUGCAGCGAAGGCAGCUUCUCCGUCCUUGGCGCAUAGCAGCCAGGAGCGGGCCAGCAGUGCCGAGACCGCGGGCCUGACCGAGCCGCAUGGCCGUGCGAGCACGUCGCCACUGAGGAAGACGGAGCCAGCCAGCGGCGCCGCGGCCGCAUCGGCGAUGCAACCUCCCGUGAAGCCCGUGUCGCCGCACAAGCGAUCGCCGCACACGGGGCAGUCUCCAUUCAACGACUUGGCAAUCAAGUCCUUCUUUGGCGGAGACGACGCAUCGCAGCGAGCGACAGUGACUGCAGGCCCGGCACUGGAGAGCGCCUACUUUUAGGACCUGGCUCGUGAGCAACGAAAGGAGGUGAACAGUGGGCGUUGAGAAGCAACACGAACGAAUGUGCAGUGCAGAAGUGCAACGUGGAGGUGCACAUACACACGCACGCACGCACGCGCACACAACACAAAUAGUUGCUCCACAUGGAGGAGCUACCAAUGGAGGAAUGCCGCCUCUGCACUGUCUCUCUCCCCGUCGUUACGAAACCUUCACGAAUGCCGUCCUUGUGGUCGCCGCUGUUGCCAUCGGUCUUGUCUGAUGCUGUCUGUUGUUUUUUUUUUGCUAUGGCUUUCCCCCUUCCUCUUUUCUGUGCCUCUCAUACCGUUGGUAAAUAGAAGGCGCGGGCCACAACAAGCACGACCAGCGGAGUCGGGUGCGCAUCACAACCAUAUUCACAUGUGUGAUCCCCCGGCCUUCGCCUUUGAUCUAUCCCCUCCAUCCCCAUCCUCUUCAUACAAUCUGUUGACAGGUGUGUCAUAGAAC
rnacentral:misc_RNA from 1 species